GGAGAUCGAGACUCGAUAAUCCGACGGAUCUUCUUCAGCCUCGAGGCGGACCGCUGGAUACGACGAUCCUAAUUUCACCUUCUACUUCCAAGUAUUUCACCAUUUUUAGGGUUAGUUUUCUCGAUGCAGUAUUUCAUGAUUGUGUAGCUUUCUGCGUUGAUUUCAGCUCGUAUUUGCUAUAAUUGAUGGCGUUCCAGUUUUAUUUUUAGGGUUUUUGACUUAUUCAGCAUCAUUUUAAAUUUAUCUCUCUUUUCUUGGGGUAAUUAGACGGGAUUGGUUAUUUUUUGGUUGCCAUAGUAUUAGCAUAUUAGAUUUUUCCUCUUUUUAUAUAUAUUUUAUUUUAUUUUAUUUUUAUUGUUUUACAGAAGACGUGUUUAUGUAAAACACGCCUUUCUCUUUUAAGUUUUAAGUUAGUUGUUAGUCUUUAUAGCUAUAUAUAUUACACAUCACAUAUGACGUGAAUUCAAUUCACUUGUAAAACUUUUCUCCACAAUCAGAAUAAAAUAUCUGUUCUUCUUCAUCCUCUCUAAGCCGUUAAUGGCGGUUCCCCAAAUUCCAUGAUUGUAAAUCUUAACAUGGUAUCAGUUUAGUUGAUUUCUUUCGUUCUUCCGCACCUCUGAAUCAUUUUUUUCGUUUCAAUUUCGCGUCAAUUCAAGUUUUUCGCAUCUGGAUCUCUGUUUAUCCAUGGCGACUCGCCGAGUGGAUGAUGUUUCGAGCCCUUACUAUCUUCAUCCCUCCGAUGGUCCCGGUCUUAUUUUAGUCUCGCAAUUACUCACGGAAGAUAACUUCGCCUCCUGGAGUCGUGCGAUGAAGAUUUCGCUUACAGUGAAGAAUAAAUUGGGGUUUGUUGAUGGCACAAUUCCUCUUCCAAUCACAGAAGAUGCUGCUCUCCGAAAUGCUUGGGUACGCAACAAUAGUAUAGUAAUUUCCUGGAUUUUAAACGCUGUUUCACCAGCUAUUCAACCGAGUAUCAUGUACUCUGAAUCUGCCCAAGAAAUAUGGAAUGAUCUCAAUACUAGGUUUUCUCAGACUAAUGGACCUAGAAUUUUUCAAUUAAGGAGAGAUUUAUCAAAUCUCACUCAGGAGCAACAGUCGAUUAAUGUCUACUUUACAAGAUUGAAGUCCAUCUGGGAUGAACUUUCACAUUUUAGGCCUUCUUGCACUUGUGGUUCUUGCACCUGUGGUGGUGUGGCAAAAUUGACUGCUCACUAUGACCAGGAGUAUGUAAUGGCUUCCUUGAUGGGAUUAAAUGAAUCCUUGACUUCUACUCGGGGGCAAAUACUUCUGAUGGAUCCUCUGCCACCUAUCAACAAGGUGUUCUCUCUAGUUUCCCAAGAAGAAAGACAGAGAUCAAUUCAAGCAUCUACUUCUGAUGCAUCUAGUUCCAUGGCAUUUUCGGCCAAGGGUGAUACAUACUCCAGGCAAUCUACCAAUAAUCAAUUCUAUAAUUCAGGCCCUACAAGAAAAUCAAGAGGUUUUUGUACUCACUGUAAUAUCUAUGGUCACACCAUAGAAAAGUGUUAUAAACUUCAUGGAUAUCCACCUGGAUACAAGGUUAAGCCACGACUUCCUCCAGCCGCUGCUCAGGGUUAUAAAUCAGCUCAACACAAAAAUUUCUCAGUCAAUCAAGUUUCUGAAUUUGAAUCUCCUCUGGACUGUUCUUCUAAUUCAGGAAGUGUUCUUCAAACUCAGAAUAUUUCUCCUACUUUGUUUCCGAAUAUGUCUGCUAACCAAUGUCAGCAGUUACUUGCUUACUUCUCAAAUCAAUUGGCAAGUCAACAACCCAAUGCUACACAGAACAACAUGAACAAUUCUGCAGCUGAGACUUCACACAUUUCAUGUGUGUCAGGUAUCUGUUAUGCAGCUCUUUUACAUUCCUCGUUUUUGCCCAGUCAUUGGAUAAUUGACUCUGGGGCUUCUAGGCACAUUUGCAAUAAUAAAUCUUAUUUUACUGAUUUGAUUCCUAUAUCCAAUGCUCGAGUUAUUUUGCCAGAUUCUUCUAUGGUUCAAGUUAUGUUCAUUGGUACUGUCAAAUUAUCUCAAGAUUUGAUAUUGACCAAUGUCUUCUAUGUUCCAUCGUUUAAGUUCAAUUUAAUUUCUGUUAGUGCUCUUUUAUACCAAACUCAGUUUCAUGUUCUUUUUGGUGAUGCUUCAUUUCUCAUUUAUCAGGCCAAGUCUUUGACGAAGAUUGGCAAGGGUAACAAAAUUGAUGGAUUGUAUGUUCUGGAUUAUGCUGUUUCUGAUUCAAUGUUUUGUAAUAAAACUCAUAUCUCUUUUUGUAAUAAAGUUUCUGCCACUGUUUGGCAUAGUAGAUUGGGCCACAUUCCUAAGCCUAAACUUGAUUUGUUAGUUCACAAGUUUUCCUUGCCUAUGAGCAAAGCUGUUGAUAACUCUUGUUGCUAUAUUUGCCCUUUGGCUAAACAGAAAAGAUUAAAAUUUUCUGCCAGUAUCUCUUCUUCUUCAAAAAUAUUUGAUCUUAUUCACUGCGAUAUUUGGGGUCCUUACAAAAUCUCAUCUCAUGCUGGUUUCAGAUAUUUUGUUACUUUGGUUGAUGAUUUCUCUAGAUUUACUUGGAUUCAUCUUCUAAGAGCUAAAUCUGAUGUUUUGUCUAUUAUACCUGCAUUUUUUAAAAUGGUUGAAACUCAGUUUGGAACCAAAAUUAAAGUUUUCAGGUCUGAUAAUGCUCAAGAGUUGCAAUUUAAACAGUUAUUUGCUGAUCUAGGUGUUUUACAUCAAUUUAGUUGUGUGUAUACCCCACAACAAAAUGCUGUUGUGGAGAGAAAACAUCAACACAUUUUAAAUGUGGCUAGAUCUUUGUUUUUUCAAUCUAGAAUGCCUAUUGAAUUCUGGAGUGAUUGUGUCUCUACAGCAGUGUUUUUGAUUAAUAGAACUCCAGCCUAUAAUCUUAACAAUUUAUGUCCUUUUGAAUUACUUUAUGCAGGAAAGUCCUUUGAUUAUACUUUUCUAAAGGUUUUUGGUUGCUUAGCUUUUGUCUCUUCUUCUCCAGUUCAUAAAUCCAAAUUUGAGCCAAGAGCCACUCCUUGUGUUUUCAUUGGCUACCCUAUUGGUGUUAAAGGUUAUAAAGUUUAUGAUUUACAAACUCGUCAAGUUAUUGUCUCUCGGGAUGUUGUUUUUCAUGAAACUAUUUUUCCUUUUGCCUCUAAAAAUCAUAAUUUUCUUUCUGCAAAUCAGUUUGAUACAUCUCCUGUUAUUCCUUCUUUUAAAUUACCUAUUGAUGAGUUAUAUCUUGAUGCUGAUCCAUAUCAGCUUCCUGGUAAUAUUCCUAGUACUUCUCAGCGUCAAGUCACUAUUCAUGGUACUGUUCCUCAUGGGAAUGCUCAACCGCAACCAAGAAAAUCCUCCAGAACUGUAAAACCUCCUGCUUAUUUACAAGAUUUCAAGUGCAAUACAGUUUAUGGUUCCUUAUAUCCUAUUACAAAUUAUCUGAACUACAGUAAACUCUCACCCAAUUUUCUAGGCUAUACUUUAAAUAUUUCUUCAGAUAUUGAGCCAGCUACAUACAAACAGGCCAUUAAAAAUCCUGCUUGGAUUACAGCUAUGAAUGAAGAGCUCACAGCGCUUGAGGACAAUCACACUUGGACAGUGGUGCCAUUACCUCAAGAUAAGCACACCAUCAGUUGUAAGUGGGUGUACAAAAUCAAAAGAAAGCAUGAUGGUACUGUUGACAGGUUUAAGGCCCGGUUGGUGGCCCGAGGUUUCACUCAGCAAGAAGGAGUGGACUUUAUUGAUACAUUCUCCCCUGUGGCUAAGUUGGUUACUGUCAAAGUCUUGUUAGCUUUAGCUGCUAUCCAUAAAUGGGAACUUCACCAGUUAGAUGUAAAUAAUGCCUUCUUAAAUGGAGACCUCAAAGAAGAAGUUUUUAUGGAUUUACCACAAGGUUAUCAGCCAAAAUUGUCCACCUCUGAAACUCAGCCUCGAUCAGUAUGCCGGCUCAACAAGUCACUUUAUGGCUUGAGACAAGCCUCGAGGCAGUGGAACAAGAAAUUUACAGAAGCUUUAAUUCAGCUUGGUUUCCUACAAUCAACAUCUGAUUAUUCUCUUUUUACUAGAGGGUAUGGUACGUCUUUUCUUGCACUAAUUGUUUAUGUUGAUGAUAUGGUUAUUGCAGGACCUUCUCCGUCUGCUAUUGCUCAGUUGAAAACUCAGAUUCAAUCUCAUUUCAAGCUCAAAGAUUUAGGUAAAAUGAAGUUUUUCCUUGGAAUUGAAGUGGCACGGACUACUGCUGGUAUCACCAUUUCCCAGAGACAAUAUGUGAUCAAUCUCCUUACUGAUUCUGGCUACUUAGACUGCAAACCCGCUAAGCUUCCCAUGGAUCCUAAGCAACAGUUGAAUAAUGAAGAUGGAGAGUUGGUUCCAGAUUUCUCGGUUUACCGACGACUUGUCGGUAGACUCCUCUAUCUCACUUUGACCAGGCCUGAUAUAACCUAUGCAGUCCACAAGUUGAGUCAAUUUGUUUCUCAUCCCAGAGUUCCUCAUUUACAAGCCGCACAUCAUCUUUUGAGAUAUCUUAAAUCAGCCCCAGGCAAAGGAGUGUUCUUUUCUGCUCAGUCUUCCCUCACCAUUAAGGCUUUCUCAGAUGCAGAUUGGGGUUCUUGUUCAGACACUCGGAAGAGCACUUCGGGUUUUUGUGUGUUCAUUGGUGAUUCCUUAAUUUCUUGGAAGUCCAAGAAACAACCUACCGUAGCCCGAUCCUCAGCUGAGGCAGAAUACAGAGCUUUGGCGGUGGUGUCUAGUGAGUUGGUAUGGAUCAAGCAGUUACUUCAAGAUUUUCAGUUCCAGCCGCCUUCUAUUCUUUUAUUUUGUGACAAUUUGGCUGCCGUUCAUAUUGCCACAAAUCCCACCUUCCACGAAAGGACUAAGCAUAUCGAAAUCGAUUGCCAUUUUGUUCGACAAUGGGUUGACAAAGGCUUACUUCGUUUGAUGCCUGUACCUAGCAGAGAUCAGCUGGCAGAUAUAUUUACAAAGGCCCUACCUGUGCCCGCUUUCUCUUAUCUUCUAUCCAAGAUGGAGCUUAAAGACAUUUAUGCUCCACCUUGAGGGGGGGAUAUUAGCAUAUUAGAUUUUUCCUCUUUUUAUAUAUAUUUUAUUUUAUUUUAUUUUUAUUGUUUUACAGAAGACGUGUUUAUGUAAAACACGCCUUUCUCUUUUAAGUUUUAAGUUAGUUGUUAGUCUUUAUAGCUAUAUAUAUUACACAUCACAUAUGACGUGAAUUCAAUUCACUUGUAAAACUUUUCUCCACAAUCAGAAUAAAAUAUCUGUUCUUCUUCAUCCUCUCUAAGCCGUUAAUGGCGGUUCCCCAAAUUCCAUGAUUGUAAAUCUUAACACAUAGUUGAAAAAUGUUCAAUAUUGCUUAUUCAAAUUUCAACGAGUUUUCGUGUGUUGUAAGUCGAUGUUCUUGUCAUUGUAUUCUGAUGGAGAAUAUGGUGUAUCAGUACGUUUUCUCUAUUUCGGUUUCUACGUUUCUGUUCACUUGAGGGUUUUUUUUCCCGAAAAGGGCGUUUUAAGAACAUACCGACUCUCUAUGUUUUGGCCUCGGUUUUGAAUUAUGUAUGGUGACUGAUGUGGUUUGGAUGAAUUCAUUUUUCUUCGAACCUUGUUGAGGGUAUUAGAGAAUUCUCCUCGUCAGCUAAUCAUCAUCGUUUAUCGGUCCUUAUAAAUGUACCCGGGAAUGCCCCUCUAGAUCUCAAGUCAGCAAAUGCAGGAGAUAAAAUAAUAUUAAAAUGAAGGUAUAUUUAGUUUUUGAAUGGAGAGUUGGACCUUACAACCAUUUUUGUAUACUCUAGGACUCGUAGAAUUAUUUCGUAAUUAGUUCAACUUGUUUGGAUUUUAUGGAAUUGAACUAUAUGACUGUUGAUUUCAUUAAUUGGAUUGGGAUCAGAUCCCAUCACUGAAUUUGUUAGUUUUGGCGAGAUUUGGUGGAUGAGAUUUUACUGCAUUGAAGCGGCAUCGGAAGUGAUUGUAUAUUUUAUUGUAGUAAUUAUACUCCAAAUGACUCUCUAUGUUUCUUCUGAUGUUUGAUUUUGUCGCUUCAUUUUCUGAACCCAUACGUAUUGGAUUUAGUUAUUGUUUUCCGUGAGUGGAGGUGCAUUUUUUCUCUGAAGCAGCAUUUUGUUUUUGUAUCAACAUAUUGAUUAUCCAAUGUGGUUUUGUUUUAAGUGAGUUAAAAUUUGCUUAAAUCUAAGAUAUUCGAUUAUUGUUUCUUGUUUUUUAUGAGUGUGUCUUGUUACCAGCAUUUCGGCUCUUUCUUUGCACUUUUCGUGUUUCUUUCUUCAUGAUUCGGCACUUCUUUAAUUCUAUUUUCUGAAUUAAAUGCCAUUUGAAAUUCACGGCUUCGUAAAAUGGGUAUGACCGGCCUCAUCUAUUUCUUCGGUUCAACUCAUGUUUUGUUUACUCUCUCCUAUUUGGGAUUUCAAUUUGGUUCGUUCAUCAAAUUUUAAUUCACUGUUGCAUACCAUAUAUUCCUGGCUAGGAAUAUUUCAUAAGAACUGAGUUUUUUGGACGUAUUUAAAUCAGAUGUUGUUUCUGACCAUAUAUCAAAAGGGGUUUAUAUGCUCAAUUGUUAUCUUCUUGAGCAUAUAAAAAAACAGGACAGGCUCCUCUGGUAACUAUGAAUAAAGCCAACUUGUUUCCGAUCGAUAAUCUGGUGUAAAUAUCUCAGUGAUCUACUUUUUGCUUCUACUUAUUUUGUUGCAUUUGUGCAGAUCAAACGUGGAAAGGUCACCCGGAAAGAGAUUUGUGUCACAGCUUGAAUCAGACUGAUCUUGCUCAAAGGGUUAGUCCUCAUCUUUCUCUCUCUCAACUAUUUAUUCAUUGAGUGUAUCCCGUUUUUUUUAGAGCUUCGCAUAUUUGAGUAGUGCUUGCCUAUUACUCCGUAUAGAUUAUAUAUAGGAUGGAAAUGUUUGUCUCUACUCAUAAAAAUUUUGCAACAAUUUUUUUUAUUUUUAUUUUUUGAAAAUGAGAGUCUCUAUAAGAAGUAGCCGUUCGGGUCUUAUUAUGGACAAUAGAACUGUUUAUCAUAAAGUAUACUAAUAUUUAUGUAGUUUUUAUUAUUGGUCCCUCUACUGUUAUUCGACUGCAGAGGUUGUGUUCUAAUCUGUAAGUCUCUAAAUUUGGUUUCUGGAUCAAGAGAAUUAUUUCCUCUCGUCUGAUUUUGAAAUUGGAACAAAAUUUUCAAUUUUCGAACAAUAUUUUUUCUCAUUUCAAAUUCUGAAUUCCAAUUUUUUUUAUUGGAAUUGUGGUAUUUAUAAGAUUCUGAUUUCCAGUCCGUUUUAUUCCGAAAAAAUUCGGGAUCCAAUUUUUUUUCUUCUUCUGAUAUCUGUCGAUUCAAAUCCGAAAUUAUCCGAUUCUGGAAGUUAUUUAAUUCCAAUUUCCGAAACUUCGAUCCCCGAAUUCUUCGAUAUUUUCGGGACAUAAUUGUAAUUAGUUUUUCAGUUCCAAAAAAUCAGAAUGUAUCCGAAAGUGCCAACUCCGAUUCCAAUUCGAUACGUCUGAUUUCACUUAUUCGCCAGCAUGCCCGAUUUUUCUCCGUCACACAACCUUUAACUCUUCUGAUUUUUUUUUUUUUAAAUUUGAAAUUGGAAAUGGACAUUUCACAACAAAUAGAAAUAGAAUAAAGACAUGGUUUACAACCAUGUGCCACACUCAUCACAAUAGAAGGUUCUCGAGAGUUGAGAACAUGUCCUGCUCAAAAAACCAAAAAAGUAACAUGUCUUUACACCUCAAGUUUGACCCAUGUUUUUCAUUCGUCCAGUUGACGUGUCGAGUCCUGAUUCGUCAACUGCACGUAAUCCGGAGCCGAAUAACCGCACCCAACCCAACGGAUACCAACAGCUGGAAAGGCGUUUUCUUUUCCGUUCUGCUAAUCAUUCCUUAAAUCACUCACAUUAUUAUAUUCCGGAAACUCAAAAAUUACUGAUUUAGUAACGCCCCACUGAUACGCUGUCGUAUCAAUCCAGCUGUAUAUUACUCCCCCACUCGCCAGUCUGUUUAUAUUCAUAAUAUUCGGGCAGCUGCCCGUACAACCUAGCAUCUGCCCGUAAACUCUCUUUGUAUUAUUGUAUAUAAAUCCUCACUCACACAGUCUCUUAACCCUUAGCUCUGCCAUUAGCUUCACCCACUUCAUUCUCUCACACUCACUUGAAAAACUCACUCCGAGUUCAGAAAGCAGCAAUGGCGGUGUCUCAGUCCAGAUCUGUGCUUUUUGCGGCGGCGAUAGUGGCGGUGCUCGCGCUCAUCGGAAGUGCGGCCGCGCAGGAGGCGCCGGCGCCGGCACCUGCAUCCUCCGCCGGAGUUGCAUCACCGUCGUUCGCCGUCGGUUGUGCCUUCGCCGUGGUUUCCUUCGUCUUCGGAUCUGCGCUCAGGAUCUGAGAUUCCUAGGGUUCCACGUGGGAGUGUGUGUGUAUAGGAUGCGGGUAUUUUUAGGUGUUUUAUGGAGUUGGAUUUUGUGUUUGAUUUUCGUGUGUGUUUUGUGUUGAAAUUUUAUUUUUAGGGCAUUUGAGUUGGGAUAGAUACAUUUAUUUUAUCUACCGUUUUGUACUUAUUUCACAAUUUCAUGUUCAUUUUGAUUAUAUUAUGGGGUUCCUUCUUCUAUUAUAUUAUGGUUUGAAUUGUUUGUUUAUUUCUCUUAUUUCUACUUUUCAUUAGUUCGCAAUUUAAAUUAAAAAAAAAAUACAUAGUUUAGCAGUAAUUCUGAACCUUUUGUGGUUCAGAGAAAAAUAUAUUAUAUCCAAACUGAAUUUUCUAAAGAUUAAUUUUCAUACCUGUUAUUGCGAACUUCCAAUGGGUGAUAUUCUCCGCCUUAUGCGCAGUCGAAAUAUAUAGAUCUG
rnacentral:lncRNA from 1 species